rnacentral:rRNA from 1 species
CAGUAGCCGCGGUAAUACAGAGGGUGCAAGCGUCAAUCGGAAUUACUGGGCGUAAAGCGCGCGUAGGUGGUUUGUUAAGUUGGAUGUGAAAUCCCCGGGCUCAACCUGGGAACUGCAUCCAAAACUGGCAAGCUAGAGUAUGGUAGAGGGUGGUGGAAUUUCCUGUGUAGCGGUGAAAUGCGUAGAUAUAGGAAGGAACACCAGUGGCGAAGGCGACCACCUGGACUGAUACUGACACUGAGGUGCGAAAGCGUGGGGAGCAAACAGGAUUAGAGACCCGAGUAGUCCCUGUCUCUUAUAC